AUUGAACGCUGCGGCAGGCCUAACACAUGCAAGUCGAGCGAGCGGCGGACGGGUGAGUAAUGAAUAGGAAUCGGCCUAUCAGUGGGGGACAACAUCUAGAAAGGGAUGCUAAUACCGCCUACUAACAGAUGAGCGUAAGGAGGAGUAGCUAGCUGGUGGGGUAAAGGCCUACCAAGGUGACGAUCGGUAGCGGGUCUGAGAGGAGGAUCCGCCACACUUGGACUUAGACACGGCCCAGACUCCUACGGGAGGCAGCAGUGGGGAAUAUUGGACAAUGGGGGGAACCCUGAUCCAGCCAUGCCGCGUGUGUGAAGAAGGCCUUAUGGUUGUAAAGCACUUUAAUCGAGGGGGCGUUACUCGCAGAAUAAGCACCGGCUAACUCUGUGCCAGCAGCCGCGGUAAUUC
rnacentral:rRNA from 1 species